rnacentral:rRNA from 1 species
GACGAACGCUGGCGGCGUGCUUAACACAUGCAAGUCGAACGGAGGGGCCCUGCUUUUGUGGGGUGCUCGAGUGGCGAACGGGUGAGUAACACGUGAGUAACCUGCCCUUGACUUUGGGAUAACUUCAGGAAACUGGGGCUAAUACCGGAUAUGAGCUCCUGCUGCAUGGUGGGGGUUGGAAAGUUUCGGCGGUUGGGGAUGGACUCGCCGCUUAUCAGCUUGUUGGUUGGGUAGUGGCUUACCAAGGCUUUGACGGGUAGCCGGCCUGUGAGGGUGACCGGCAACAUUGGGACUGAGAUACGGACCAGACUCCAACGGGAGGCAGCAGUGGGGAAUAUUGCACAAUGGGCGGAAGCCUGAUGCAGAAACGCCGCGGGCGGGAUGACGGCCUUCGGGUUGUAAACCGCUUUCGCCUGUGACGAAGCGUGAGUGACGGUAAUGGGUAAAGAAGCACCGGCUAACUACGUG